AGUCGAACGCUUCUUUCCUCCCGAGUGCGUUGCACUCAAUUGGAAAGAGGAGUGGCGGACGGGUGAGUAACACGUGGGUAACCUACCCAUCAGAGGGGGAUAACACUUGGAAACAGGUGCUAAUACCGCAUAACAGUUUAUGCCGCAUGGCAUAAGAGUGAAAGGCGCUUUCGGGUGUCGCUGAUGGAUGGACCCGCGGUGCAUUAGCUAGUUGGUGAGGUAACGGCUCACCAAGGCCACGAUGCAUAGCCAACCUGAGAGGGUGAUCGGCCACACUGGGACUGAGACACGGCCCAGACUCCUACGGGAGGCAGCAGUAGGGAAUCUUCGGCAAUGGACGAAAGUCUGACCGAGCAACGCCGCGUGAGUGAAGAAGGUUUUCGGAUCGUAAAACUCUGUUGUUAGAGAAGAACAAGGACGUUAGUAACUGAACGUCCCCUGACGGUAUCUAACCAGAAAGCCACGGCUAACUACGUGCCAGCAGCCGCGGUAAUACGUAGGUGGCAAGCGUUGUCCGGAUUUAUUGGGCGUAAAGCGAGCGCAGGCGGUUUCUUAAGUCUGAUGUGAAAGCCCCCGGCUCAACCGGGGAGGGUCAUUGGAAACUGGGAGACUUGAGUGCAGAAGAGGAGAGUGGAAUUCCAUGUGUAGCGGUGAAAUGCGUAGAUAUAUGGAGGAACACCAGUGGCGAAGGCGGCUCUCUGGUCUGUAACUGACGCUGAGGCUCGAAAGCGUGGGGAGCAAACAGGAUUAGAUACCCUGGUAGUCCACGCCGUAAACGAUGAGUGCUAAGUGUUGGAGGGUUUCCGCCCUUCAGUGCUGCAGCAAACGCAUUAAGCACUCCGCCUGGGGAGUACGACCGCAAGGUUGAAACUCAAAGGAAUUGACGGGGGCCCGCACAAGCGGUGGAGCAUGUGGUUUAAUUCUAAGCAACGCGAAGAACCUUACCAGGUCUUGACAUCCUUUGACCACUCUAGAGAUAGAGCUUUCCCUUCGGGGACAAAGUGACAGGUGGUGCAUGGUUGUCGUCAGCUCGUGUCGUGAGAUGUUUGGGUUAAGUCCCGCAACGAGCGCAACCCUUAUUGUUAGUUGCCAUCAUUUA
rnacentral:rRNA from 1 species